CAGCCGCCGCGGUAAUACCAGCAGCCCAAGUGGUGGUCGCGAUUAUUGGGCCUAAAGCGCUCGUAGCCGGGCCGGUAAGUCCCUUGUGAAAUCGGACGGCCUAACCGUUCGGCGUGCAAGGGAUACUGUCGGUCUUGAGGCCGGGAGACGUCCGAGGUACUCCGGGGGUAGCGGUGAAAUGUUCUGAUCCUCGGGGGACCACCGGUGGCGAAGGCGUUCGACGAGAACGGGCCUGACGGUGAGGGGCGAAGGCUAGGGGAGCAAACGGGAUUAGAUACCCGCGUAGUCCCUGUCUCUUAUU
rnacentral:rRNA from 1 species